AUACGUAGGUGGCAAGCGUUAUCCGGAAUUAUUGGGCGUAAAGGGUGCGUAGGCGGUUGAUUAAGUUUUAGGUGAAAGCGUGGGGCUCAACUCCAUACAGCCUAAGAAACUGGUCAACUAGAGUGCAGAAGAGGGUAGUGGAAUUCCAUGUGUAGCGGUAAAGUGCGUAGAUAUAUGGAGGAACACCAGUGGCGAAGGCGGCUACCUGGUCUGCAACUGACGCUCAAGCACGAAAGCGUGGGGAGC
rnacentral:rRNA from 1 species